ensembl:snRNA U6 U6 spliceosomal RNA
GUACUUGGUUCGGCAGCACAUAUACUAAAAUUGGAACAAUACAAAGAAGAUUUGCAUGGUUCCUGGGCAAGGAUGACAUGUGAAGUCUUGAAACAUUCCAUGUUUUU